rfam:Sorghum bicolor cultivar BTx623 chromosome 1, whole genome shotgun sequence.
AAUGGCAGAUGAUGGAUAACCUUAUCCUACACACUGAAUCUAAUGUGUUGACCAAUACUCCGCUUAUUGUCUGAUGCCAUU